GGAGACAGGUAAGCUAGUCUGAUAUUCCCUUCUCUUAAAGAAUUUUCCACCGUUUGUUGUGAUCCUGACAGUCAAAGGCUUUAGCAUAGUCAAUGGAGUAGAAGUAGAUGUUUUUUCUGGAACAGCCACCCCUUGGAAUCUAUUAAAACAUGCUGUCAUCUGACCCUUGCACAGAGGCCCUCUGACCACCCCUUGGGCACAGGGGUGAAAACAGCAGGUCCUCUGGGAGCCAGGUCUGGGAAGCAGCCUGUGUGGGCCCUGAAGCAGGCUUGAAACCAUUAGGGCAGGCUCCCUGGAGCUCCAGAUGGACCUGUCUCCCUGCCGGAGGGAAGCCAGAGCGGGCACUCCUCUGGCCCAGAGGCUUGCCGUGCACAAAUGACCUGCAACACAGAGAGGAUUAUGGAUGGCUUGGGCGUCGUCGCAUGGAGUCUUUCUGUGCUUAUGACUUUAAAUCAGAUUCUUGUUACUUGCACACCAUUUUGCCAUGUGUAUUUGUAAAUAUAUCUUGCUGGCAUAUUUUAUGCUCCAGUUAAUUUAGUUGACAUCUGAUUUAGUUGACAUAUAAAAAUAAAAUCAAUUUUCAGACAAAAUACCCAUAAAAUAAGUGAAAUGCGAUAAUAGGUUUCAAGAAAUUAAAACGUAAUAUAUUUAGGCUUCUAUUCUAAAGCAAUCUCAUCUAGAAUAGUAGAUAUUGUAGAUGUAAUUUUUUCCCGAAUCUCUGUCAAUUACACAAUAAUAAAUGUUGGCACUA